CUGCAAUGCUUUCACGCCUCACAAGUACACAAGUAUUCAAACAAGGACUCCCCUCCGGAUUAUAGUGAACAAUUAUGACUCAAGACUCACCCAUUUUACCUUUCACCAUGGGGCUUAUAGCUAUCACUUUGGUCUUGGGCAGUUGAAAGAUAGAACAGUUAGGUCGAGCACUAUGCUACCUGCUCUUUGUUCAACUAUUAUUCUAGAGUUUUGCAAGAUUUUCAAAUAAAACUUAUAGUUUCCUUAUAUGACACUUUCUAGUCUCUCAUAUGUGGUAUUUUUGGAUCCUCCCCAAGUCAAGUGAGUAUGCCUUCUCUCUGCUCUCAGAAUAUGUGGUAUUUGUAUCACUAAGACAUAGUUGCCUUCUCUCUCUCACCCUACUUCUAAUUGGCUUAUGUGGAGCUCAUAGGUGGGAAAGAUAAUUCAAACCUACUUGCAUGUAUGGCAUAGUUAAACCAUGGAUAAGAGAAACUAAUUAUACAAUCGAGUCAUAUGUGCCUGUGAGUGAAGUGAAAUGAAGUGAUAAGAAUGAAAUGGCUUAUGAGGGGUGAUAACUGUUGGUGAAUAUCUAAUUCUACAUUUGCUCCUUGGGGAUAACAUACCUCCCUAACCUAAGAACAAGGAUUUGGAUGUCUUUCUUUUCUUUUGCAUUGGGACUUUUGUCCUCUUUUUUUUUAUUUUCUCUCUCUCUCUCUUUUACUCUCUUUUUUUAGAGAUCAACCAUCCCUUUUAAUUCAAUGAUAAUAGUAGGGAGUAUCAACUGGGAUAAUAGGGCUUUAUUGGAUAAGUAGAAUAAGACACUGAAUAUUUUUGGGUGUCUUCUCCAAGUGUAGGAGUAGAACAUUUUCUAAGUGGGUGUGGAAUGUGUGUGGGUGAAUGAAGGAAUGUGUACUCCUAGGGUAGGAGUAGCAUAGGUGGGUGUCUCUAGGAUAGAAACAACACAGAGUGUAGUGCGUAUAUGUGGGUGGUGUUGACGGUCCUUAAGUAUCAAAUAUAAUUAUCAAAUAAACAAAGAAAAGGAUCCAAAUGAAAUCAACAUCUAGACUUAGGGUUUUAUCUGACAGAAUUCCACGAGUUUUGGUGUUUGUCUAUUUCUGCAGGGGGUUAUCAGAAAAUAUGGAAGAAAGGCCCACACGUCGGGAUUACAUAGAGAUAUUAACGUGCCGCGCAAUUAUCUUACAUCUAGAAGACUCCAGAAGCCACGGGAACGAAGCGGAGGCAAAACGGGGCCUGGCCCAGGGC
rnacentral:lncRNA from 1 species